AAAAUUUUAGUUUAAACAAAACUUUUUUCUUACAAAAAAAUAUUAAUUUUAUUAAAAUUAAAUUUUA
rnacentral:tRNA from 1 species